GCCGAGAUAGCUCAGCUGGAAGAGCGCUCAGCAUGCAAUCGAGAAAUGGGCGGUUCGAUGCCCCCUCUCGGCU